GACGAACGCUGGCGGCGUGCUUAACACAUGCAAGUCGAACGGAAAGGCCUCUUUCGGGGGGUACUCGAGUGGCGAACGGGUGAGUAACACGUGAGUAUCCUGCCCUUGACUUUUGGAUAUCUUCACGAGACUGGGGCUAUUACCGCAUAGAAGCUCCUCCUCCAUGGUGGGGGUUGGAGAGUUUGGGCGGUGGGGGAUGUACUCGCGGCUUAUCAGCUGGUUGGUGGGGUAGUGGCUUACAACGGCUUUGUCGGGUAGCGGGCUUGAGAGGGUGACGGGCAAAUUGGGGCCGGGGUACGGCCCAGAACCCCAAGGGGGGGCGGAGGGGGGGAUUUUGCAAAAUGGGGGGGAGGCUGAUGCAGCAACGCCGGGGGCGGGAUGAAGGGCUUCGGGGUGGAAACCGGUUUCGGCCAGGACGGAGGUGUGUGUGACGGUAGUGGGUAAAGAAGCACCGGCUAACUACGUG
rnacentral:rRNA from 1 species